AGUUUAUAAAAUAUUAUCAGCCAUCAUACUUACUUUUCUAGAAACAAUGUUUGUAGUGAUUCUCUUCUUCGAGGCUUCUUUCAGAGAUGAGAAUAAGGAUAAGUGUUUUCGCUGCUGGCAACGACUCCAGUGGUUAGAUCUGUGGAGGAAAUCUGUACUCUAUUUUGGAAUGUCGAUUCUUUGUUUUAUCAGACCGUCUACUGUAUGGUUAGCCACAGUUGCAGGUAUCGCUGCUUAAUUUAUCACAAUUUUAUCUACAACAGACUUGUACAUUCUAUUAAAAACUUUCCACAUUUCUUGCAAAUAUGCAUAGUAAAUACAGUAUUAUAAUCAACCUUCCUUCUUCAAUAUGGGAUCCAUUCAUUGGACCAACCCUGUGCACAUUUGUUUAAACUGUUGGUGUCUCUAAGAAUUUUAUCAUUA